CUUACUUUCUCUAAAGUUUCAUGUCAAUUUCCAUAAGAGAACAUUUUAAAACAAAUGUUGAGUUUACUUAUUGUAGUAACACAUAACUUGAAUAAUCAAGCUAAAAUGCCUUUCUUCUUCCUUCCAUGGAAAUUGAUUUGCUUUCUAUUUCUAGUCAGUUAUUAAAAUAGAAAGGAAAAUUCAAUCAAAUUUAAGCUUACAGAAAAGUUGCAAUAAUAGUACCAACAACGCACAUUCCCUUUACCCUGUGUAUUAGUUAUCUAUAGCAGUGGACCAAAUUACCCCAAGGUUUAGUGGCUUAAAACAAGUACUUUUUUAUCUUACAGUUUCUGAGAGUCAGGAAACUGGGAGUGGCUAAGCUGGGUGGUCCUAGCUCAGGGUUUCCUGAAGUCAGUCAGGAUGCUGGCAGGGGUUCUUAUUGUUCUGUCACUCAGUCCUGUCUGACUCUUUGUGACCCCAUGGACUGCAGCAUGCCAGGCUUCCCUGUCCUUCACAGUCUCCUGGAGUUUGCUCAGACUCAUGUCCAUUGAGUCAGUGAUGCCAUCCAGCCAUCUCAUCUUCUGCCACCACGUUCUCCUGUCCUCAACCUUUCCCAGCAUCAGGGUCUUUUCCAGUGAGUCGGCUCUUCACAUCAGGUGGCUAAGGUAUUGCAGCUGCAGCUUCAGCAUCAUUCCUUUUAAUGGAUAUUAAGGGUUGAUUUCCUUUAGGACUGACUGGCAGGGGCUGCUGUCAGUCAAAGCCUUGAUCAGGACUGGAGGAAUGGCUCCAAGAUGACUCAGUCACGUAUCUGUUGAUAGGGGGCCUCAGUUCCUGGAUACCAGGAUGUCCCUACAGGCUGCUUAAGUGUCUUCAUGACAUGGCAGCUGGUUUCCACUAAACUUGUGUUCUGAGUGAAUGAAAAAGAGCUAGCAGGAAGAUCGGAGAAGGCAAUGGCACCCCACUCCAGUACUCUUGCCUGGAAAAUCCCAUGGAUGGAGGAGUCUGGUAGGCUGCAGUCCAUGGGGUCGCUAAGAGUUGGACACAGCUGAGUGACUUCACUUUCACUUUUCACUUUCAUGCAUUGGAGAAGGAAAUGGCAACCCACUCCAGUGUUCUUGCCUGGAGAAUCCCAGGGACGGGGGAGCCUGGUGGGCUGCCGUCCAUGGGGUUGCACAGAGUUGGACACUACUGAAGCGACUUAGCAGCAGCAGCAGCAGGA
ensembl:lncRNA